UACGUAGGGCGCAAGCGUUGUUCGGAAUUAUUGGGCGUAAAGAGCUCGUAGGCGGCCUGUCGCGUCUGCUGUGAAAUCCCGGGGCUUAACCCCGGGCGUGCAGUGGAUACGGGCUGGCUGGAGGCAGGCAGGGGAGACUGGAAUUCCUGGUGUAGCGGUGAAAUGCGCAGAUAUCAGGAGGAACACCGGUGGCGAAGGCGGGUCUCUGGGCCGAUACUGACGCUGAGGAGCGAAAGCGUGGGGAGCGAACAGG
rnacentral:rRNA from 1 species